rnacentral:rRNA from 1 species
UUAAAGUGGUACGUGAGCUGGGUUUAAAACGUCGUGAGACAGUUUGGUCCCUAUCUGCAGUGGGCGUUGGAAGUUUGACGGGGGCUGCUCCUAGUACGAGAGGACCGGAGUGGACGCACCUCUGGUGUACCGGUUGUGACGCCAGUCGCAUUGCCGGGUAGCUAAGUGCGGAAGAGAUAACCGCUGAAAGCAUCUAAGCGGGAAACUCGCCUGAAGAUGAGACUUCCCUAGGGCCUUGAGCCCUCUGAAGAGUCGUUCGAGACCAGGACGUUGAUAGGUCGGGUGUGGAAGCGCUGUGAGGCGUUAAGCUAACCGAUACUAAUUGCUCGUGAGGCUUGAUCCU